rnacentral:rRNA from 1 species
GGUCAAGCAAUAAGGGCACAGGGCGGAUGCCUUGGCACUAAGAGCCGAUGAAAGACGUGAUAAGCUGCGAAAAGCUUCGGGGAGGAGCAAAUAUCCCGUGAUCCGGAGAUGUCUGAAUGGGGAAACCCGCAUGAGCAGACCUCAUGCAUCCAUACGCCAAUCCAUAACGUAUGGAAGGGAACCCGGGGAACUGAAACAUCUAAGUACCCGGAGGAAAAGAAAGAAACAUCGAUUCCGUAAGUAGCGGCGAGCGAACGCGGNNNNNNNNNNCGGCGAGCGAACGCGGAGGAGCCUAAACCGGUGUGCGUGCAUGCCGGGGUCAUGGACUGCAUUUAAGAUUCAGCGAAGUUAACAGAACGGUUUUGGGAAAGCCGGCCGGAGAGGGUGAAAGCCCCGUACGUGAAAGCAGAGCUGACUGAGCAGGAUCCGGAGUACCACGAGACACGAGGAACCUUGUGGGAAGUAAGGGGGACCACCCCCUAAGGCUAAAUACUACUUAGUGACCGAUAGCGCAUAGUACUGUGAAGGAAAGGUGAAAAGG